AAUAACGUUAUAAAUAUGCAAAUUAAUUUUUUUAAGUAAAAUAUUUGCAUCUCCUUUCCUCCUCCAGGCUUUUGAACUUCUGAGGUCAACAAGGACAAACAAUACCACUAGUGUCUCUUUGCAAAAAGCUGGGUUUGCUGUCUGCAAGCAAUGGUGUGGAGGCAUUACGUAAUCUCUCUCCGCCUUUCACCUGCCAUCUUCUCACCACAACACAACUGGCGAUGCCGUCCAGUGCAAGUUUCCUGCUUGGAACACCAGCAUUCGGAGCAGCUCUACGUUAAUGAUCCAGAUGUACACCUGGAGCUUUUGGUAUUCAUCCCUAUCUCUUCUUCACAAAAUCCUUCCUGGCCCAACAGAAAACUAAGAAGACAUUUCCCAGUCUCCUCUCCCAGCACCAAGGCUGUCAUUAAAUUGUUUGGUUUUGUUUG